ensembl:lncRNA
AUUUUUUCCAUGUUAUUAAGGGUAUAAUAGCUUUCACAAUGGUAUGUAUGUUCAAGAUUAACUGUUAUUAGUUCAAUAGCACCAUCUCCUGGCUGGCUCACCAAAAUUGUAGCAUAUAUUAAAUAUGCACUAUAUAUGAUGUGUAGACCAGAUUUCAGAAGACUAAAGGGUAUGUAGGAGGUAGUGGACUGAAACAAUAACAGUGACAGCACAACUGAUAAGCGUCCCAGCUUUUUUGGAACUGAGGUCGUAUGAAGUCAGAAACAAAACGUGUGCGUCCUCAGAAAAUAGGGGGACAUUUUGGAGGCACCACUG